UACGGAGGGUGCAAGCGUUAUCCGGAUUCACUGGGUUUAAAGGGUGUGUAGGCGGGCAGUUAAGUCAGUGGUGAAAUCUCCGGGCUCAACCCGGAAACUGCCAUUGAUACUAUCUGUCUUGAAUAUCGUUGAGGUAGGCGGAAUAUAUCAUGUAGCGGUGAAAUGCAUAGAUAUGAUAUAGAACACCGAUUGCGAAGGCAGCUUGCUAAACGAUGAUUGACGCUGAGGCACGAAAGCGUGGGGAUCAAACAGG
rnacentral:rRNA from 1 species